ensembl:snRNA LOC120093295 U6 spliceosomal RNA
GUGCUCCCUUGUCAACACAAAUCCUAAAAUUGGAUUGAUACAGAGAAGAUUAGCAUUGCACCUGUGCAAAGAUAACAUGCAGAUUUGUGAAGCAUUUCAUACUUUC